AGCGAACGCUGGCGGCAGGCUUAACACAUGCAAGUCGAACGCCAUCUUCGGAUGGAGUGGCAGACGGGUGAGUAACGCGUGGGAACGUACCCUUUGGUUCGGAAUAUUCUCGGGAAACUGGGAGCAAUACCGGAUAAGCCCUACGGGGGAAAGAUUUAUCGCCAAAGGAGCGGCCCGCGUCAGAUUAGGUAGUUGGUGGGGUAAAGGCCUACCAAGCCUACGAUCUGUAGCUGGUCUGAGAGGAUGAUCAGCCACACUGGGACUGAGACACGGCCCAGACUCCUACGGGAGGCAGCAGUGGGGAAUUUUGGACAAUGGGCGAAAGCCUGAUCCAGCCAUGCCGCGUGAGUGAAGAAGGCCU
rnacentral:rRNA from 1 species